rnacentral:rRNA from 1 species
UACAGAGGGUGCGAGCGUUAAUCGGAUUUACUGGGCGUAAAGGGCGCGUAGGUGGUAAAGCAAGUAAGGUGUGAAAUCCCUGGGCUUAACCUAGGAAGUGCAUCUUAAACUGCUUAACUAGAGUAUGGUAGAGGGUAGUGGAAUUUCCGGUGUAGCGGUGAAAUGCGUAGAGAUCGGAAGGAACGCCAGUGGUGAAGACGACUACCUGGACCAAUACUGACACUGAGGCGCGAAAGCGUGGGGAUCAAACAGG